rnacentral:misc_RNA from 1 species
GAUGAAGAACGUAGCGAAAUGCGAUAAGUAAUGUGAAUUGCAGAAUUCAGUGAAUCAUCGAAUCUUUGAACGCACAUUGCGCCCGCCAGUAUUCUGGCGGGCAUGCCUGUCUGAGCGUCAUUUCAACCCUCAUGCCCCUAGGGCGUGGUGUUGGGGAUCGGCCAAAGCCCGCGAGGGACGGCCGGCCCCUAAAUCUAGUGGCGGACCCGUCGUGGCCUCCUCUGCGAAGUAGUGAUAUUCCGCAUCGGAGAGCGAUGAGCCCCUGCCGUUAAACCCCCAACUUUCCAAGGUUGACCUCGGAUCAGGUAGGAAUACCCGCUGAACUUAAGCAUAUCAAUAAGCGGAGG